rnacentral:lncRNA from 1 species
UGAUGGUAAAUACCGAGUGUCGACUGGAUUGAAGGAUGCAAAGUAUUGAUCCUGGGUGUGUCUGUGAGGGUGUUGCCAAAGGAGGUUAACAUUUGAGUCAGUGGGCUGGGGAAGGCAGAUCCAACCUCAAUCUGGUGCGCCAUCUAAUAAGCUGCCAAUGAAUAUAAAGCAGGCAGAAAAACAUAAGAAGGUGAGACUGGCCUAGCCUCCCAGCCUGCAUCUUUCUCCCAUGCUGAAUGCUUCCUGUCCUCGAACAUCAGACUCCAAGUUCUUUAGUUUUGAGACUCGGACUGGCUUCCUUGCUCCUCAAGCUUGCAGACAGCCUAUUGUGGGACCUUGUGAUCAUAGAUCCUUGAUUAAUACAGAUGGGGUCCCACUAUGCUGCCCAGGCUGCUUUCAAACAGGGUCUUAACUCUGUCACCCAGGCUGGAGUGCAGUGGUGUGACCACAGCCACUGCAGGCUCAACCUCUGGGACUCAGGUGAUCCUCCCAUCUCAGCCUCCCAAGUAGCUGGGACUACAGGUUGCUUCUUCCAGAUCCCUUUUGAUCUACUUUCAGCUAUGGAUUCAUGAGAAUCAAGACUAAGCAGCCUGAAUUGAAGGAGUAACAGUAUCACCUAACAAUGAUUUUGCUGCCAUAGUAGCUGUUUGUAUACUGGCCAUAUGCCUAGGUAAAAUGAGGCCAGAUCACUCUCAAGAGUUUUCUAUCAGAGUUGGUGGUGAACUACUGCUCACGGAUAAUGACGAGAAACCCCAGCUGAGGAGGCAAAUAUACUCAAGGAAAGUAAUAGUUUCCAAAUGCCUGGCAGUGCCAGGAAGGGGCCAUGUCCAUGGACCACUAUGUAAGGAUAUCUCAGUCUCUAGUCCAGCGUGGUUUAUGGUGCCAAAUAAGUGCCAGGUGAACUCACUACAUCUGACAAAAUCUCAAGGAACCAAGUUUACCAGAUAAUAUUUAUGAUUAUGUGAAAAAGACUGAGGAAAUCACUCAAGUGAUCCAUCAUACAGCACCUCCAGUUCCAAAGAAUACUGACUUACUUCAGCUGUACUGGUCUGGAGCUGCACAUUCUUUUCAGACAACUCUUGUUCCAGUAAGUUCAGGUGACUCUUCUCCUGUAACAGAGCCUCCUUCUUAGAAACUAUGGCCUCCCGUUUCUUUAAGUCUGCUUCCAGCUCCUCUAAUUCUUGGCGUUGGUUCAGAACUUUCUCUACUUCUUCAUCUAACCAUUUCUUUUGCUCAUCCAAUUUCUACAUUAAAAUUAAAAAAAAAGUUACUUGUUUUUCCUUCUGCCAUAAAAAUUAUAUGGUAAUAAUAGAAUUUCAGAUUGGCUGAAAUCUCUUAAAUGAACAUUUAAAAACUAUCACUCAGAGUAACUCAGGUAGCCGUCUGAGAUCCUAAAGACAUCAGUGGUUCUAGUCAAGAUGUAGCUAUGUUGUUUUAUAAAGAAUUAAAAUUUACUCCCCAGAUAUGUUAAACAGUCUAGGAUUUUUUAGCCUGACGAAGAAAGGGCUGAUAAUUUUCUAUGCCUAUAUUAAGAACAUGCUGGAAUCUUUUACUCUGUUGUAGUGGUGCACAGUUCCAUCACAGCACUUACACUGGUGGCUGCCCUACGUAUCUAUCUCCCCAGCUUGAGCUCCUUGAUUGAUUGCAGGGGCUGUAGUUUUUACCCGUCUAUCCACAUGGCUGGUAUAUUGCCUGGGCCACAGUAGGCAUUCAAUAAAAUGUUAAAUGAAUGAGUGAAUGAAUGCCUGAUUCAGUCAGUCAAUGAAGUGAAUAAAUGAAUACACACAGUGGAAGACACAGAUGAUGGAGGAUGGAAGGAAAGCCAAUUUGCAUUGUAGCUUGUCAACCUCAAAUAAUUAUUUUUAAAAAAGAAAAAAAACAAAAAUAAAAAAUUGCUGAAAAGAUCUCCAAAACAA